rnacentral:rRNA from 1 species
AGUCGAGCGCGAAUUUUAUUGGUGCUUGCGCCUUUGAAAUUUUAGCGGGGGACGGGUGAGUCUUUUGUGGGUAACCUACCUUAUAAAUUGAGAUAACUCCGGGAAACCGGGGCUAAUACAAAAAAAUACUUUUUAACACAUGUUUGAAAGUUGAAAAACGGUUUCGGGUGUCACUGUAAUAUGGACCCCCGGCUCUUUAGCUGGUUGGUGAGGAAACGGCUCACCAAGGCAACUAUGCCUAGCCCACCUCUCAGGGUGAUCGGCCACACUGGGACUGAUACACGGCCCACACUCCUACGGUAGGCACCUGUAGGGAAUCUUCCACAAUGGACGAAAGUCUGAUGGAGUUUCGCCAGGUGAGUGAAGAAGGAUUUCGGUUCGAAAAACUCUGUUGCAAGGGAAGAACAAGUAGCGUAGUAACUGGCGCUACCUUGACGGUACCUUGUUAGAAAGCCACGGCUAACUACGUGCCAGCAGCCGCGGUAAUACGGAGGUGGCACGCGUUGUCCGGAAUUAUUGGGCGUAAAGCGCGCGGGUGCCCGCACUAGCUGGAGUGGGCGUAUAGCUCGCGAUGGUGGUUCCUUAAGUGUGAUGUGAAAAGCUCCCGGCUCAACCGGGGAGAGUCAUUGGAACUGGGGACUUGAGUGCAGAAGAGGAUAGUGGAAUUUCAAGUGUAGCGGUGAAGUGUGUAGAGAUUUGGNGGAACACCAGUGGCGAUGUGGACUGUCUNGUCUGUAACAGACACUGAGGCGUGAAAGCGUGGGGAGCAAACAGGAUUAAAUACCCUGGUAGUACACGCCGUAAACGCUGAGUGCUAAGUGUUGGGGGGUUUCCACCCCUCAGUGCGGCAGGUAACGCAUUAAGCACUCCGCCUGGGGAGUUCAGUCGCAAGCCUGGAAAUCAAAGGAAUUAACGGGGGCCCCCACAAGCGGUGGAGCAUGUGGUUUAAUUCGAAGCAACGGGAAGAUCCUUACCAGGUCUUGACAUCCCCGUGACCACCCUGGAGACAUAGUUUCCCCUUCGGGGGCAACGGUUUCAGGUGGUGCAUGCUUGUCCUCAGCUCGUGUCGUGAGAUGUUGGGUUAAUUCCCGCAACGAGCGCAACCCUUAUUCUUAGUUGCCAUCCUUCACUUUGGCACUCUAAGGAGUCAGCCGGGCAUUAACCGGAAGAAGGCGGGGAUAACCUCAAAUCAUCAUUCCCCUUAUGCCAGUGGUCACACCCCUUCCGCAAUGGGCGGCACAAACGGUUCACAACCCGCGACGGGGAGUUAAUCCCAAAAAACCGUUUCCAUUUCGGAUUGUAUGUUGCAAUUGGCCCCCAGAAAUCCGGAAUCGUUGGUAAUCGGGGACCACCAUGCCCCGGUGAAUAGUUUCCCGGCCCUUACCCCACCCCCCGUCCCCCCUCGAGAGUUUGUUACCCCCGAAGUCGGCGAGGUAACCUUUAUGGAGCCAGCCGCCGAAGG